UAUGGGUAUAAGUGUCCCUCAGAUCUGAGGCUGCCUCGGUGACUUGUAAGCAACUCACUGUGCUUUGAUGUCGGACUACCUGAAUUUUUAAUUCGAUGAUAAAAAAUUUUUGGAUACGGUCAAGUACUUGUGAAGUCUGAGUAUGAGUCAAGAUGGGAUUGACUGCUUCAAGUAAAAUUGGACAUAUUGCAUCAUUGUGUUUCAAUUCAGUAAAAUUUUGGCCAAAAUAUUCCUA
rnacentral:lncRNA from 1 species